UUUUUGAUAUGUUUUUGUAGUAUAGAUAUUAGCUUUUAGAUUUCAAUAACUCGUGCAUUCGUGGCACUAUGAAGUGAAUUGGAUGAGCUUGAAAAGGGGAAAGUGUGUCAUUUUGCAUUGAAAAUUGAACAGGGGAAAAGUCUUUAAAAACUAAGAAAAGAGCUGAACAAGGGAAAAUAGGGGAGAAGAACUGCUCUUAGUUAUCUUGAUCAAGGUCCCCAAGCAUGGUCACGG
rnacentral:lncRNA from 1 species